UCAAAACUGUUUCAGGCAGCUAUCAAGUCUCAAGAUAUGACAUAAUUUGAUAGAAUGUUAGUACCAACGCUAUCAGUGCAUUGAAGUCGAGUUCUCGAUACAGGGAGCUGCUGGUAAACUACCGUCGCUAUACAUCGACUAUGACUACAAUCCUACUUUUAAAAACAAACUACAUACAUAUCUCACAUUUGCGAGGACUACUUCAUCACAAGCAAAAAAUCGACAUUGGUAAAUAAAGGUCUGUCUUCUAUAACCACGAUGAAAAGAAAAG